rfam:Salmo salar isolate Sally breed double haploid chromosome ssa16, whole genome shotgun sequence.
UGCAUUCACUACUGUAAGUCGCUCUGGAUAAGAGCAUCUGCUAAAUGAGUAAUA